UACGGAGGGUGCAAGCGUUAUCCGGAUUCACUGGGUUUAAGGGGUGCGUAGGUGGGCAGGUAAGUCAGUGGUGAAAUCUCCGAGCUUAACUCGGAAACUGCCGUUGAUACUAUUUGUCUUGAAUAUUGUGGAGGUAAGCGGAAUAUGUCAUGUAGCGGUGAAAUGCUUAGAUAUGACAUAGAACACCAAUUGCGAAGGCAGCUUACUACACAACGAUUGACGCUGAGGCACGAAAGCGUGGGGAUCAAACAGG
rnacentral:rRNA from 1 species